rnacentral:rRNA from 1 species
UACGAAGGGGGCUAGCGUUGCUCGGAAUUACUGGGCGUAAAGCGCACGUAGGCGGAUUGUUAAGUCGGGGGUGAAAUCCUGGAGCUCAACUCCAGAACUGCCUUCGAUACUGGCGAUCUCGAGUUCGGGAGAGGUGAGUGGAACUGCGAGUGUAGAGGUGAAAUUCGUAGAUAUUCGCAAGAACACCAGUGGCGAAGGCGGGUCUCUGGACAGUUCCUGACGCUGAGGCACGAAGGUCAGGGGAGCAAACGGG